UGGUGAAAGGGAAAUAUAUUUAGACCAUUUUGAGCCAAAAUUCAUUUGUCUAUGAGUUUGCAUUAAAAAUUCAGGAUUAAUGCGCUACAUAGUACACUAAUUUAAGAUUUCCAGAAAACCGGGAGUUAUUUUUGGUAGUACCUGUCUUUUCAAAAUCAGAAAUUUGUUACAAAACUUUAAACAUUGGUUGAAAAUUGGCAUGUAGGAAGGUGAUACAUGUACAAUUCAGGAUAUACCUGGUUUCCUUGAAGUUAAACUUAAGGUAAAAUAUUUAGAAAGCUGUGAAAUUGCAAAAUUU
rnacentral:lncRNA from 1 species